ACUUCUUUAGUAUAACUAGUACAAUUGACUUCCAAUCAAUUAGUUCCAAACUAAUCUGGAAAGAAGUA
rnacentral:tRNA from 1 species